rnacentral:rRNA from 1 species
GAUGAACGCUGGCGGCGUGCCUAAUACAUGCCAGUCGAACGAAACUUCUUUAUCACCGAGUGCUUGCACUCACCGAUAAAGAGUUGAGUGGCGAACGGGUGAGUAACACGUGGGCAACCUGCCCAAAAGAGGGGGAUAACACUUGGAAACAGGUGCUAAUACCGCAUAACCAUAGUUACCGCAUGGUAACUAUGUAAAAGGUGGCUAUACUACCGCUUUUGGAUGGGCCCGCGGCGCAUUAGCUAGUUGGUAGGGUAAAGGCUUACCAAGGCAAUGAUGCGUAGCCGAAUUGAGAGGUUGAUCGGCCACAUUGGGACUGAGACACGGCCCAAACUCCUACGGGAGGCAGCAGUAGGGAAUCUUCCACAAUGGGCGAAAGCCUGAUGGAGCAACGCCGCGUGGGUGAAGAAGGUCUUCGGAUCGUAAAACCCUGUUGUCAGAGAAGAAAGUGCGUGAGAGUAACUGUUCACGUUUCGACGGUAUCUAACCAGAAAGCCACGGCUAACUACGU